CACUUCUUUAUCUACCAAAAGUGUGAACCCAUGGUAUGAGCCACUAAUGCAAGCAUCGUCAUUCUUUUCUGAGUUUGUCUAAUUCACAUCUAAAUGUUUUCUAAGGAUGUCACAUCUAAGCUCCCACAAAUAACGCAGCAACAAGGAACAAAAAAAAAGCUGGGGCAAAAAAAAAUACACCACAAACAUAGUGGACACAAGGUUAGACGUGACAUAAAUGUGUCCUAGACAGACCCUUCUUUUCUUAGUGAAACAUCAACUUUCCAAAGACAAUAUUCCAAACUGGACAGUUGAUACAUAGAGCUAUUUUACUUUAACAUUUAAAGUGUGGCUGCAAAUCUGGGAUGCAGGAGGUGAAAAUUCAUUGUCUAAUCUGUUUCUCAGUUUCCUCUUUCAGAAACGAGAGAUUUUUCAAGACCUUGCUCCACUGCUGUGGCACUCCUUUGGCACUGUUGCUGCACUGCUCCAGGAGAUUGUGUCAAUUUACCCUUCACUUUCACCUCCUACUUUGUCGCCAGUUGCAUCAAACCAUGUCUGCAAUGCACUUGCACUUCUUCAGUGUGUUGCUUCACACCCUGAGACCAGGAUCCCGUUCUUGAAUGCUCACAUCCCACUGUACCUGUACCCGUUCCUGAAUACUACCAGCAAGACAAGACCUUUUGAGUACUUGAGGCUUACCAGCUUGGGUGUUAUUGGUGCUCUUGUGAAGGUAAAUUAAAACUAGAUACUUAUGCAAACUAGGAAUGGAU